ACACAAACAAGAUUGAUUGAGCUUUUUUCAUUUCCACUUUCCAAUUAAGUAGCAGGUUGGUUAUCAUGGCCUUCAUGCUUCCGAGGUUCAUCACCAUUAGAUCAACUAAUUAUCCUGAUAAAGGGCAUUUAUACUACUACGAAAAAGCAAGUACGGUAAAGAUGAAGAUUGAAGUGGAACAAGCAACACCAACUACGUUCACCUCCGGUUCAGUAAUUCCAACAGGUAUUGGUCCAAGAGAGUGGCAUCGUUGCCGAAUCGAAGAAGCCCGUGGAAGACAUAAAGAAGCCUUAAUGCACGCUGUUCCAACUGGUUCAGGCGGAAGGUGUACAUUCAAUUACGUUCCGACUGGUGCGCGUGUGUUGGUAGAUCCCGGGCAUUUUUGUGGAGGGAAAUCCCCCAGAUUCGUACGGGUGAAACCACAACAACUUCAACGUUAGUCACAGCCACCGGGAUAGUUCCUGUGCCUGCGAGGAGCAAGGGUAUUGUGGAUUAUGUUGGAACCUGCAAUAUUCCUUAUACUUACACUCAGCAGGCCAUCGAUGGCGGAGUUGUUAAAUUCAGAUAAUUCAACAGAGUUUAACAUGGUAUUAAAGUGAGAAAUUGAUUCUAAUUUCA